rnacentral:lncRNA from 1 species
AAUAUCAGCAGUUGAUUCUAGGUUGAUAAGAGUCAACCCCCAAAAUUGCCACUAGAUAAAAUAAAAGAUCAGUUUUCUGAAAUACUUCAAGAGUCAACCUUAAUUAGGCAUAAGUCAAGCUCAGAUGAUUAGGAGUCAACCUCAAAAGACCAAAAAUCAACCCCUAGAUAGCCAUAGGGUGAAUACAAAUGACUACAUUUUUUAAAUACUCCUGGAGUUGACCCUAAAAAUGGAGGAUUCAACCCUUGAGGCUUAAGAGUCGACUUCAAUGGACCAAGAGUGGACCCUUUUAUAUUGACAAACCAUAAUGGCUAGUUUUUCAAUAUGAGUAGAGUGCACUAAAUGACCUUGAAUGACUCUCUAAUGGAUAUAAAUGGUCAAAAGACAUUCUCCAGCUUUUCCUCUUGAUAUAAAAGACUCAAGAAUUAAUUAGAAACCAAGACAAGUGCUUAUCAUUGGAAAACAUUUAAUACAAGAGCAACCACCAUCUACUAGAGCAUUCACUUGAGAAUCCAAGCA